rnacentral:rRNA from 1 species
AUCCUGGCUCAGGAUGAACGCUAGCUACAGGCUUAACACAUGCAAGUCGAGGGGAAACGAUAUUGGAAGCUUGCUUCCGAUAGGCGUCGACCGGCGCACGGGUGAGUAACGCGUAUCCAACCUGCCCAUCACUUGGGGAUAACCUUGCGAAAGUAAGACUAAUACCCAAUGACGUCUCUAGAAGACAUCUGAAGGAGAUUAAAGAUUUAUCGGUGAUGGAUGGGGAUGCGUCUGAUUAGCUUGUUGGCGGGGUAACGGCCCACCAAGGCGACGAUCAGUAGGGGUUCUGAGAGGAAGGCCCCCCACAUUGGAACUGAGACACGGUCCAAACUCCUACGGGAGGCAGCAGUGAGGAAUAUUGGUCAAUGGACGAGAGUCUGAACCAGCCAAGUAGCGUGCAGGAUGACGGCCCUAUGGGUUGUAAACUGCUUUUAUAAGGGAAUAAAGUGAGUCUCGUGAGACUUUUUGCAUGUACCUUAUGAAUAAGGACCGGCUAAUUCCGUG